rnacentral:rRNA from 1 species
GACAGAGGUGGCAAGCGUUGUUCGGAAUCACUGGGCUUAAAGGGCGCGUAGGUGGUAGUGCAAGUCUGAGGUGGAAUCCCAUGGCUUAACCAUGGAAUUGCCCUGGAAACUGCAUUACUUGAGUCAGUGAGGGGAGGGUAGAAUUCCUGGUGUAGCGGUGAAAUGCGUAGAUAUCAGGAGGAAGGCCGGUGGCGAAGGCGGCCCUCUGGCGCUGAACUGACACUGAGGCGCGAAAGCGUGGGGAGCAAACAGG